GAUGAACGCUGGCGGCGUGCCUAAUACAUGCAAGUCGAGCGAACAGACGAGGAGCUUGCUCCUCUGACGUUAGCGGCGGACGGGUGAGUAACACGUGGAUAACCUACCUAUAAGACUGGGAUAACUUCGGGAAACCGGAGCUAAUACCGGAUAAUAUAUUGAACCGCAUGGUUCAAUAGUGAAAGACGGUUUUGCUGUCACUUAUAGAUGGAUCCGCGCCGCAUUAGCUAGUUGGUAAGGUAACGGCUUACCAAGGCAACGAUGCGUAGCCGACCUGAGAGGGUGAGCGGAAACAGUGGAACUGAGACACGGUCCAGACUACUACGGGAGGCAGCAGUAGGGAAUGUUCAGCAAUGGGCGAAAGCCUGACAGAGCAACGCCGCGUGAGUGAUGAAGGUCUUAGGAUCGUAAAACUCUGUUAUUAGGGAAGAAAAAAUGUGUAAGUAACUAUGCACGUCUUGACGGUACCUAAUCAGAAAGCGACGGCUAACUACG
rnacentral:rRNA from 1 species